rnacentral:rRNA from 1 species
GACGAACGCUGGCGGCGUGCUUAACACAUGCAAGUCGAACGAAGAGCGAUGGAAGCUUGCUUCUAUCAAUCUUAGUGGCGAACGGGUGAGUAACGCGUAAUCAACCUGCCCUUCAGAGGGGGACAACAGUUGGAAACGACUGCUAAUACCGCAUACGAUCUAAUCUCGGCAUCGAGGAUAGAUGAAAGGUGGCCUCUACAUGUAAGCUAUCACUGAAGGAGGGGAUUGCGUCUGAUUAGCUAGUUGGAGGGGUAACGGCCCACCAAGGCGAUGAUCAGUAGCCGGUCUGAGAGGAUGAACGGCCACAUUGGGACUGAGACACGGCCCAGACUCCUACGGGAGGCAGCAGUGGGGAAUCUUCCGCAAUGGACGAAAGUCUGACGGAGCAACGCCGCGUGAGUGAUGACGGCCUUCGGGUUGUAAAGCUCUGUUAAUCGGGACGAAAGGCCUCCUUGCGAAUAGUGAGAAGGAUUGACGGUACCGGAAUAGAAAGCCACGGCUAACUACGUG